rnacentral:lncRNA from 1 species
CAUCUUUUAAUAAUAGGAAUCCUUGUUUUCAUGCUUUGGCUCAACAAUUCAUUCUUUACCCAGCAGGCAGAGGCAUAUUUCAAGUACGAUUAGACUCCAAAUUUAAAAUCAUUCAAGCAUCUCUUACUAGAGUUAUAUCCCUCUAUAAAUCCUGUUCUUUUUCUUAAUAGCACUUAUCAUAACUUGCAAAUACACAACUUUUUGUGUGUUUAUUUAAUGUGUGGCUACGGAAUGUAAGUACUAUAAGGUCAGAGAAAAUGACCUUUUUGUUUCUACCAUAUAUACUAUGCUUAGUACAUAUAGUAGGCACUUGCUGAAUGGAUAGAUUGAUCGCAUUUAUUGCUUAAAAAAAAGACUAUUGUUUUAGAACAGUUUUGAAAGACAGUACAUAGAAUUCCCACACAUCCUACACCCUGUUUCUCCUAUUAUAACAUCUUACAUAAGCUUGAGGCAUUUGUUACAACCAAUGAACCAACUGAUCCAUUCUCCUUAACUAAAGUCCAUAUUUUACUCAGUUUUUCUUACUUUGAAACUAAUGUCUUUUUUCUAUACCAGGAUCUUAUCUAGGAUAUCAUGCUACACUUAGUUGUCAUGUUUCCUCAGGUUCCUCCUGGCUGUGAUUAGACUUAGGCUUUCAUUGUUUUUGGCGGCUGAGUAUUGAGGAAUACUGAUCGGGGAUUUUGCAGCAUGUACUUCACAUGGGAAUUUAUGUGUUUCUCAUAGUCAGGCAGGGAUCGUGGGUCUUUAGGAGGAAGACCACAGAGGUGAAGUGUCGUUUUCAUCGCAUCAUGGGAACAUCAGUGUGAACAUGUUACCGUUGAUGUUGAUCCUGACAUCUGGCUGAGGUAGUGUCCUCUGGCUUCUCCACUGUGAAGUUACUCUUCCCUCCGACUCCUUUCUCAUACUGUGCUUGAUGAGAGGAAGUCACUGUGCAUAUUCCACACGUAAGGAACGGUUAGUAGCUGUGCUCUACUUCCUUGGCAGAGUAUCAACAUACAUUUUUUGGAAUUCUGCUGGAUGGAAGAUGUCUCUUCUCCCUUAUUUGUCCCUCUCUGUCCAUCCAUCCAUCCAUUCAGUCAGUACAAGCUCAUGUAUAUUUAUUUUCUGGUUUGCAUUAUACUCCAAUACUUCCCCAAUAAUUUUAUUGUUCACGUUGUUGCAGUUUUGACCACCGGGAGCUCUGUCAGUUGGCCCCUGGGUCCCUAUAACAUAACCAAUCAGUGUAGGCUUUGUUGUUGGCUUGUUUCUCUGUUUAUAGAACUUUCCUACUUUCUAGCACUGUAAGAGCCUCCAGGCUCAUCUUGUAUAUUUCAUGCCCCAAUACAGAAUUCAGCCAUUUCUUUCAUUGGGCAGUGAUAGACCUGGUACUGGAUAAUGCAUGUUGCUCCUGGGACAGGAUUUAAUACCUUUAUCUUAAUUCCUUUUUACUUUGCAAAGUUGUUUUCUUUUUCUGGUCUCUUAAGCUAAAUGCUGAAGUUCAGCAUGUCUUCAUUGUUCUUAUUUUUCUUAUAAAUGCAACAAGUGUAUACUUUUUUUUCUCUUUUUUGUUUUGACUGAAUUUUGCAAGUUUUAAUACAGAGGUAUGUCAUUGACCAGUUCUAAAGGGUGUUUAUUUUCAUUUUUGAUUUUCCUUUUUGACAUUUCAAUGUUUAGAACAGUGUUUUUGAAUUUUAAAGUGGAUAGGUUUUGGAGGCAUACUUUUUUUUUUUUUUUUUUGUCUUUUCUGGGGCCGUAACUGUGGCAUAUGGAGGUGCCCAGGCGAGGGGUCUAAUUGGAGCUGUAGCCGCCGGCCUAUACCAAAGCCACAGCAACUUGGGAUCCAAGCCACGUCUGCAACCUGCACCACAGUUCAUGGCAAUGCCGGAUCCUUAACCCACUGUGCGAAGCCAGGGAUUGAACUCGCAACCUCAUGGUUCCUAGUUGGGUUCGUUAACCACUGCGCCACGAUGGGAACUCCUGAAGGCAUACUUUUAAUUUAUUUAUUUCUGUCUUUUUAGUGCCGCACACACGGCUUAGGGAAGUACCCCAGCUAGAAGUCAGAUCAGAGCUGCAGCUGCCAGCCCACAUGCAGCCAUGGCCACUCAGGAUCCAAGCUAUGUCUGAGACCUACACCACAGCUUACGGCAACACUGGAUCCUUAACCCACUGAGCAAAGCCAGGGAUCGAACCCACAUCCUCAUGGAUACUAGUUGGGUUCAUUACUGCUGAGCCACAACAGGAGCUCCAGGAGGCAUACUUUUUAAUUCUUUUAUUGCACUGUGAAAGAAGUUGUGGCUUACCUAUUUCUGCAUUUGAGAAUUUGAGAUUUCUUUGUAACGUAAUAUAAGGUCAGUUUUUUUGUGCAUGUUACAUAUGUAGUAGUUUGCUUAUUGGUCACAGUUGUACAUGGUUAUGUGUUGGACAAACUUUGUGUACUGUUUUACUCAUAAACUUAUUUUAAGACCUCUAGAUCAUGUUUUCUAAGAAAACCUCCCACUCUGUGGUUAUAGCAGUUUGUUCUUAUAUUAAUGAUAAAUCGUUGCUUCAUAUAUUUAUGUGGUUUUCACAUUUGAUCUUGAAAGUUUUCAAAUCUAGAGAAAGGUUUCAGUCUCUCUCUUUUCCUCUGAUAUAGAUGUAGAAGGCCUCAACAAGCUAUUGGCCAAACAAAUCUAACAGUGUAUACAAAGAAUUACAUAAUGUGAUGGAGGGGGAUUUAUUCUAGGUACACAGAGCUGGUCCAGCAUUUGAAAAUCAAAUGUAAUCCAUUAUGUCAACAGGCUAAAGAACAAAAAUCAUAGGAUCAAUGAUCGUUAUCAAUAGAUGCAGAAAAACAUUUGACAGAAUCUAAUUCAUAAUGAAAACACUGAGCAAAAUAGGGAGAAAUGUCCUCAACUUGAUAAAAUCUAUUAAAAAAAAAACUCUACAGCUAAUGUCUUAAGUCAGGAGAAAGUAGAUAUUUUCCUACUAAGAUCAGGAACAAGGUUAAGGACAUUUACUCUCACCUCUUCUAUUCAGCGUUGUCCCGGAAAUCCUAGCUAGUUCAAUAGGACAGGAAAAGGAAAUUUAAAAUCUGCUGACUGAGAAGGAAGAAUACACCUGUUUUUGUUUGCAGACGACAUCAUUGUCUAUGUAGAAAAUUUCAAAGAAUCAACAAACUC